AUUGAACGCUGGCGGAAUGCUUUACACAUGCAAGUCGAACGGCAGCACGGACUUCGGUCUGGUGGCGAGUGGCGAGCGGGUGAGUAAUGUAUCGGAACGUGCCCAGUCGUGGGGGAUAACGUAGUGAAAAUUACGCUAAUACCGCAUACGAUCUAUGGAUGAAAGCGGGGGAUCGCAAGACCUCGCGCGAUUGUAGCGGCCGAUAUCAGAUUAGGUAGUUGGUGGGGUAAAGGCCCACCAAGCCAACGAUCUGUAGCUGGUCUGAGAGGACGACCAGCCACACUGGAACUGAGACACGGUCCAGACUCCUACGGGAGGCAGCAGUGGGGAAUUUUGGACAAUGGGCGAAAGCCUGAUCCAGCCACUCCGCGUGCAGGAUGAAGGCCCUCGGGUUGUAAACUGCUUUUGUACAGAACGAAAAGGUUUCUACUAAUACUAGGAGCUCAUGACGGUACUGUAAGAAUAAGCACCGGCUAACUACGUGCCAGCAGCCGCCGUAA
rnacentral:rRNA from 1 species